rnacentral:rRNA from 1 species
AUUGAACGCUGGCGGCAGGCCUAACACAUGCAAGUCGAACGGUAACAGAAAGCAGCUUGCUGCUUUGCUGACGAGUGGCGGACGGGUGAGUCAUGUCUGGGAAACUGCCUGAUGGAGGGGGAUAACUACUGGAAACGGUAGCUAAUACCGCAUAACGUCGCAAGACCAAAGAGGGGGACCUUCGGGCCUCUUGCAAUCGGCUGUGCCCAGAUGGGAUUAGCUUGUUGGUGGGGUAACGGCUCACCAAGUCGACGAACCCUAGCUGGUCUGAGCGGAUGACCAGCCACACUGGAACUGAGACACGGUCCAGACUCCUAAGGGAGGCAGCAGUGGGGAAUAUUGCACAAUGGGCGCAAGCCUGAUGCAGCCAUGCCGCGUGUAUGAAGAAGGCCUUCGGGUUGUAAAGUACUUUCAGCGGGGAGGAAGGGAGUAAAGUUAAUACCUUGGCUCAUUGACGUUACCCGCAGAAGAAGCACCGGCUAACUCCGUG